AACGAACGCUGGCGGCAGGCCUAAAACAUGCAAGUCGAACGAACCUUCGGGUUAGUGGCGCACGGGUGAGUAACGCGUGGGAAUGUGCCUCUGGGUGCGGAACAACGUCGGGAAACUGACGCUAAUACCGCAUAAUGUCUACGGACCAAAGAUUUAUCGCCCAGAGAUCAGCCCGCGUCUGAUUAGCUAGUUGGUGAGGUAACGGCUCACCAAGGCUACGAUCAGUAGCUGGUCUGAGGGGAUGAUCAGCCACACUGGAACUGAGACACGGUCCAGACUCCUACGGAGGCAGCAGUUAGGAAUAUUGGACAAUGGGCGCAAGCCUGAUGCAGCGACGCCGCGUGAGCGAAGAAGGUUUUCGGAUCGUAAAGCUCUGUCCUCUGGGAAGAAAAAAAUGACGGUACCAGAGGAGGAAGCCCGGCUAACUACGUGCCAGCAGCCGCGGUAAGCUCGUCUCUA
rnacentral:rRNA from 1 species